GACUAUAAAAGGGUAUAUUCAAGAUCGAAUUCAAUCUGAUGGAUCAUCUUGCGGCUUGUUCAUGCUACAAUUCAUUGAAUACUGGACAGGACACAAACUGUCACAUCCUGUUACACAGGAAGAUGUCAAACCCUUCAGGCAAAAAGUAGCAAUCAUUCUCCAUGAAUCAGAUCUGAACGAUAUAAAAGGAACUCCUGAGUACCAUAAUCCAGCAGACGAUAUAAUAGAUACUGACGGUGUUGAAAUAUUGGACCCGCCA